rnacentral:rRNA from 1 species
UCUACGGGUGGCAGCAGUGAGGAAUAUUGGUCAAUGGACGGAAGUCUGAACCAGCCAUGCCGCGUGCAGGAAGACGGCUCUAUGAGUUGUAAACUGCUUUUGUACAAGGGUAAACCUGAAUACGUGUAUUCAGCUGAAAGUACUGUACGAAUAAGGAUCGGCUAACUCCGUGCCAGCAGCCGCGGUAAUACGGAGGAUCCAAGCGUUAUCCGGAUUUAUUGGGUUUAAAGGGUGCGUAGGCGGAUUGUUAAGUUAGAGGUGAAAUGUCCGGGCUUAACUCGGGAACUGCAGCUAAUACUGGUAGUCUAGAGGAUAGAAGCGGUAGGCGGAAUGUAUGGUGUAGCGGUGAAAUGCUUAGAGAUCAUACAGAACACCGAUUGCGAAGGCAGCUUACCAAUCUAUAUCUGACGUGGAGGCACGAAAGCGUGGGGAGCAAACAGGAUUAGAUACCCGAGUAGUC